rnacentral:rRNA from 1 species
GACGAACGCUGGCGGCGUGCUUAACACAUGCAAGUCGAACGGUGACGCACCUUCGGGUGUCGAUCAGUGGCGAACGGGUGAGUAACACGUGGGCAACCUGCCCCUGACUCUGGGAUAACCUCUCGAAAGAGAGGCUAAUACCGGAUAUCACCUCCCUUGGCAUCUUGGGAGGUCGAAAGUUCUUCGGUCAGGGAUGGGCCCGCGGCCUAUCAGCUAGUUGGUGGGGUAACGGCCCACCAAGGCGACGACGGGUAGCCGGCCUCAGAGGGCGACCGGCCACACUGGGACUGGGACACGGCCCAGACACCUACGGGAGGCAGCAGUGGGGAAUAUUGCGCAAUGGGCGAAAGCCUGACGCAGCAACGCCGCGUGAGGGAAGACGGCCUUCGGGUUGUAAACCUCUUUCAGCAGGGACGAAGCGAAAGUGACUGUACCUGCAGAAGAAGCGCCGGCUAACUACGUGCCAGCAGCCGCCGUAAAAC